AGCGUCCUGCAGCUUCAGCACAGGCUCUUAAGAGAUGCUUCCCUUCCCUCAUCCCUAAAAGCAAAGGGAUUAAUUUGGAUGACAACAAUGGUGUUUUCAGUGCAGCAAGUAGAAUUAAAUAAGCAGGCUGGCAGAAGAUCUGAGAAACAGAAGGUGAAAAUAAAUAAAUUGGAGCAGUGAAGAAUGCAGAAAGAAACAGAAAGUGUUCAAAGGCAUGUAAAUGCCAUGAAGGCUGAAGCCAAAUUCAUAUGCAAAUACCUAAGUACAGAGCUGCUUAGUGAGUCCAACCCAACAUGCUGCUCCUGAAGAAGAGACUGCUGUUUGUCAAACAGAAAGAAAGUCA